CGGGGGCCCGCACAUGCGGUGGAGCAUGUGGUUUAAUUCGAAGCAACGCGAAGAACCUUACCAGGUCUUGACAUCCUCUGACAAUCCUAGAGAUAGGACGUCCCCUUCGGGGGCAGAGUGACAGGUGGUGCAUGGUUGUCGUCAGCUCGUGUCGUGAGAUGUUGGGUUAAGUCCCGCAACGAGCGCAACCCUUGAUCUUAGUUGCCAGCAUUCAGUUGGGCACUCUAAGGUGACUGCCGGUGACAAACCGGAGGAAGGUGGGGAUGACGUCAAAUCAUCAUGCCCCUUAUGACCUGGGCUACACACGUGCUACAAUGGACAGAACAAAGGGCAGCGAAACCGCGAGGUUAAGCCAAUCCCACAAAUCUGUUCUCAGUUCGGAUCGCAGUCUGCAACUCGACUGCGUGAAGCUGGAAUCGCUAGUAAUCGCGGAUCAGCAUGCCGCGGUGAAUACGUUCCCGGGCCUUGUACACACCGCCCGUCACACCACGAGAGUUUGUAACACCCGAAGUCGGUGAGGUAACCUUUUA
rnacentral:rRNA from 1 species